AGUGGAAUUUCUGGUUCAUAUGAUAAUUUUGUUUAACAUUUUGAGAAAUUGCUAAAGUGCUUUCCAAAGUAGUUCAACCAUCUUUCAUUCCCACCUACAAU
rnacentral:pre_miRNA from 1 species